GAUUGUUUCCAUGUCUUAUUUUUUAAGGAACUUUUCCACUGUUUUCCACAGUGGCUGUACCAAUUUACAUUCCCACCAACAGUUUAGGAGGGUUCCCUUUUUUCCACACCCUCUCCAGCAUUUAUUAUUUGUGGUCUUUUUGAUGACGGCCAUUGUGACCAGUGUGAGGGCAUACUCAUUGUGGUUUUGGUUUGCAUUUCUCUAAUUGUCUGGUCCCUCUGUGUGAUUUCUCUCAUUCUUGCCCACACGCAGCAAGGAUUUAGAGGUGUGGGCAGUCUGGCAGGGGGACUAUUCCGUCUGCGAAAUGUGGAGAUCACAAUCGAACUCAAAUGAUAGUAGUGUAUAGCAAAUUUUAUUUAUGCCCUCAGAGAGAGAGCAGGCCACCCUGGAGUACAGACUGGCUCUGGUCACAGCUGGGUCUUUCCUUAUAUCCGCAUACAGUGAAUGUAGUUGGGGACCUGAAUUUUCCUGCCCUGAGCCCCACUCAUUUUCCUGUCCCAGCCCUGCUGCACCAUCUCUAAGGGCAGUGUUGUUUGAUCUCUGUAUGAGGGUGCAUUUUGAUCCUCUGGUUGUUUUCAGGCUGGAUACCUUAUUAGCAUGAGGAACAGGUUAUAUAGAGGCAAGGUAAGGAAUGGGUGACAUUUCUUCCCUAACAGGGAGUGAGCAGCCCAGGUUGCUCAAGGUGGGGGAAGGGGUAUUACAAUGAAACCUGGUCAGUGGCUUUUGGGUUUGAUCUCCUUCAUGGGGACUUGAAGCCUAUAACAUGAUAAUUGGUGAUAUUGAGCAACUUUUCAUGUGUGUGUUGGCCAUCUGGUGUCUUCUUUGGACAUUGUCUGUUUAGGUCUUCUACCCUAAAAUGGGCAUAUUAAUGCAUGACUCCGUGGAGUUAUGGUAAGAAUUGACCAAAAUGGCCUUAGUGUUUCCCUCAACUUGACUAGAGUUUGGGCAGGCUUCUUUCUGCCCCUUGGCCCUUGACCUCACCCCAGAUAUCCUAUGAUCCUUGCCCCCAUUCCACCUCUUAAAAACUCUACCACCCUUUGAUUCAUUGGAGAUAAGUUGAGAUUGAGUUAUGAAGAAAAAUGUGGAAGUCCUGACUAUUAUAAUACUUCCAGGAAUACAUAGACAGAAGAGAAUAUGUUCAGAGAAUUCUUGAUUUUCUUUUUCCAACAAAAGAAAAACUCAGGGGUAAAGGAGAGAAUGGGUCUUACACAAAACUUUGAGUUAUUCAAAACUCUGGCAAUGCAUCAUAAGCCAUGGGGUGGGCACUAAACUAAAAGCACCAAGAUUAAUAAUUUUCUGAGCCAAAGUACCUGAAGAAGUCAGAGGCCUCAGAAACCUGCUGAAGGGCACUGAGAAUAGAUCCAUUUUAUAAAAUUCCUUUAAAAGGCUACUGGUCCACACCCUUUUGUGCUUUGGAUUAUUCCCAGUGUUUACUGUAGAAAGGGAGAGAUUAGAGAUGAAAUAUAUAGUCAUAGUUAAUAUCUCACCUCCCUUCCAUCAUACCAAAAACAAACAAACCCAAACAUGCCUUACCUACCAACUUAGCUAUUUCCAUUUUCAUCUAUUCUUAAUUUGGGACUGGAGCUGUGGUCAGCAGGGGUUCAGUAAAUGAUUUUCCUCACAAUAGCACUGCUGCUCUCUGCCUCACUGCUUUUUUCCUUGAGGGCAGAGAUGUCUAGGAAUCUCAUCCUGGCACUAUAUUCCUUGGUUGUUGGUUUUCUUUGACUCCCCUCCUCUCCCUGACAGGAAAUAGGAGGUCCUAGGUGAUACUUUUUCCCCAGCUAUGGCUACCAUAGCAAUGAAUAUGCACUGGGGUAAGAUAAGCCGUGUUACCAGGCUGUAGAGUCUUCCUUCAAAAUAUUUGAUGGAUUAAUUCCCAGAAACCUGCUUGCUCUGAGAUAAGGAGUGUGUGAGAGUGUGGUAGAGGAGUGUGGGGGUGCAGAUGGUGGUGGCCAUUUCUCAUUCAGUCACAACUAUUGGCUGAAAAUUAUCAUUACAAACAUACGUGUCACACUAUUCAGGGUUACAGAAUGCCUGGGAGAGAACUGAUCUAGAAUGAGGGUAUAUAUGAUAAACAAUAGGUAUCAGCAGGAGAGAGAGGCAGCACUGGGCUCCCCCUGACCCCAGAGUCACGGUAUCUCUCUUUUUUAUCCUCUUUGUCAUAGUCAAGUUCAAAGAGAUUUAGCACACAGGGACACCAGGCUGUCAGCUGAAUCUUCACUUAGACUUGAACUUCCAGCCUGAAUCUCUUUAUGUUUCUCUAUGGUAAACCAGACUGGGCAAUACCAACAGUGACGGUUUGAAAAUUGUCUGUUUACCUUUAAUUUAUUCUGCCUUACUUUGUCCAUAAAUGCAUCUGUUUUUGUCAGAGCAGGCCCCAGAUGAGCUGGAUGCUCCUCUUGCUACUUUAAGCUUUCAGUUUCUAAGAGCCAGCUCACUCCUCUGUCCUCCUUCCUCCCCUCUCAGAAUACAUGCACACAUGGAAUCCUCUGUCAGCUCCUAAACAUUUUUAUAUUUAGAGUUAUUAACCUUAGUAUCCUGUUGCUAAACAUAUAGCUCCUCUGUUAUGAAGCCUAUGACUGGGCAAUAGCCUUCUUUGUAUUUGACUGAAGUAGGUGAUUAAGUUCUUGGUAGUGAAAAGUAAGAAAAUGUGUUGUAUAGAAAUCAUGGGAAGUCUCUUUCUUCCCUUCCACUUUUCUGAUACUGAUGCUUAAAAUGUGGCUGUGAUAGCUGGAACUCCAGCAGCCUUUUUGGAGUAUGAUGAUGAAGGCUACAUCCUAGCAAUCACAGAAAGAGUCUAUGUCUCUGGUGGACAUGGAGCUAUUAUUCUAGUCUGGUCCUGGACUCUUUCAUACUUUUUUUUUUCUUGUGUGUAUGACAAAUAAACUCUUAUUAGCUAUUUCAUCUCCAGUUGGAAUAUUUUUAAAUCUUAUUUUAACUACAAUAUGUGAGCAUGUGCUAACAUGCUGAGUUUACUUUUCUCCUGUUGUUAUUCUAUUCUCCUGUUGUUAAAUUUCUGUGACAACUCCUAAUAUCUUUAUGUAUCUUCCUCUAUUUUAAAUUUUCCCUUAAAUAAACUUUAGUGGAAAUCACUGUUCCAGGAACUAUGCCAGGCUACUGGAAAACAAUGGUUAAUCUAUAAUACUUCAUGGCUGUGAGGCAUUCACCUGAACUCCAUUCCAAAGAAGUACAGGAGAAUGACAUCGGGUGAAUGUCACUACCACCCAAAUCAGCUUUGCUCUUGGCAUAUAGAAAGAGUAGGUCUGUCUCUGGCCUUGAAAAAAAAAUGUAGUAUAAUAGAAAAGGAGAACAGAAAGGCUUAAAAUAAUGAAUGUUUAUAGGCAUCCAGGGAGAAUGAAAUUAGUGUUUCUUUUCUUUUCAGGCUUAUUGUUGAAAAAUUAAUAAUCUUCUGGAGGUCUGCUAUUAAAAUAGAAUUAGCAGUGACCUCAUAGAGAGCCCUAAAACUUACAAAUUGUGUUCCCUCUUGCUUUCACUGGUUGGGUGCAAUCCAAAGUGCGUCGAUUAUGAAUGGUCUAACUUUUGCAAAACAGCUUUUCUUUUCUCUAAUUUUUGCAGUUGCUUUAAAAAAAAAAAAAAA
rnacentral:lncRNA from 9 species